CCCUUAGAUGUUCUGGGCCGCACGCGCGCUACACUGAUGAAUUCAACGAGUAUUCCCUUGACCGAGAGGUCUGGGUAAUCUUUGAAACUUCAUCGUGAUGGGGAUAGAGCACUGCAACUGUGCUCUUAAACGAGGAAUUCCUAGUAAGCGUGAGUCAUCAGCUCGCGUUGAUUACGUCCCUGCCCUUUGUACACACCGCCCGUCGCUCCUACCGAUUGAAUGAUCCGGUGAAGUCUUCGGACAGUUGGCGCACCGAUUUAUUUCGGAGCGACGACUGGAAGUUGCCUAAACCUUAUCAUUUAGAGGAAGGAGAAGUCGUAACA
rnacentral:rRNA from 1 species